rnacentral:rRNA from 1 species
GUCCACGCCCUAAACGAUGUCAACUAGGUGUUGGGGAAGGAGACUUCUUUAGUACCGCAGCUAACGCGUGAAGUUGACCGCCUGGGGAGUACGGUCGCAAGAUUAAAACUCAAAGGAAUUGACGGGGACCCGCACAAGCGGUGGAUUAUGUGGAUUAAUUCGAUGCAACGCGAAAAACCUUACCUACCCUUGACAUGUCAUAAAGAUCGCAGAGAUGUGAUUGUGCCCGAAAGGGAAUCUGAACACAGGUGCUGCAUGGCUGUCGU